CAGUCGCCGCGGGAAUACGUAGGGUGCAAGCGUUAAUCGGAAUUACUGGGCGUAAAGCGUGCGCAGGCGGUUUGUUAAGACAGAUGUGAAAUCCCCGGGCUUAACCUGGGAACUGCAUUUGUGACUGGCAAGCUAGAGUAUGGCAGAGGGGGGUGGAAUUCCGCGUGUAGCAGUGAAAUGCGUAGAUAUGCGGAGGAACACCGAUGGCGAAGGCAGCCCCCUGGGCCAAUACUGACGCUCAUGCACGAAAGCGUGGGGAGCAAACAGGAUUAGAUACCCCCGUAGUCCCUGUCUCUUAUAC
rnacentral:rRNA from 1 species